GACGAAGGGGGCUAGCGUUGUUCGGAAUUACUGGGCGUAAAGCGCGUGUAGGCGGUUGUUCAAGUCGGGUGUGAAAGCCUUGAGCUCAACUCAAGAAAUGCACUCGAUACUGGAUGACUUGAGGACCGGAGAGGAUAGUGGAAUUCCCAGUGUAGUGGUGAAAUACGUAGAGGAAUUGGAAGAACACCAGUGGCGAAGGCGGCUACCUGGACCGGUUCUGACGCUGAGGCGCGGAAAGCGUGGGUAGCAAACGAGGAAUUG
rnacentral:rRNA from 1 species